GAAAUGUGCCCGUUGCCCUUGUUGCCCGGUGGAUCGGUCCUUUUGCACGAGCGGCUGGGUUUCGCUGCUUUUCAGAACUUGACUGGACAGUGCCCUAAACACCCGCAGCGCCCCCCCCGCACCCCCGCCAAGAAAAAGUUCCUGGCCGUCUAUUUAGUAACAGCGAACUCAAGCGUUUUAACUGCACAGGGAAGGAACGUUAGAAACAAAAGCCUUGGAUCCGGGUUGGGGCAGGCGGCGAGAAAAGCAGGCAAGCAGCAGCUCCUUGCAGGAAAUGCCCGCUGCAUAGGAUCAAGAGACUGGAGUGGCACAAUGAGUGCAUUUAUCUGCAAGGCGGGAGGAGGACCCUAGAAUGCACAGUACGUGAAUAGGUGAAAAAGGAACCCGUGUGUUUCGGAAGAUGAAUUGUUUUAAAGGAAUUUUGCCCUAGGAUACUCGGAGUAACGUUCUAGCUAGAGGACCUGAAUGAAGACCUCUCCCUUCCCAGUUCGGAAUUCCCAAAGGAUGAAAUAAGGAAUUUUAUUGACCCAGCUUGGAUUAGGUGACCAUCACCAAGAAACUGAAGACCACUAAUUUGGUCCUGAAAAGACUGAUAUGAAAUAGUGGGCAGGAGUAUUCCAGUCAUUGGAAGAGAUAUUUCACAUUAUAAAUUGUGAAACUCAAUCUAGUUUCUGGUGUUCUGUAAAUAUUGUUAUCAUCAAACUGUCCCCAAGGACUAAAUAGUUUCUAGGAGCAACUUACAGAAACUAAUUCAGCUAUGGCCAAGAGGUCAGAGUCAAAAAUAGUCUAGAGCAGUAAUUACCAUAGAACUUUCUGAGGUCGCGGAAAUGUUCGGAAUCUGUGCUACCCAAUUCAGUAGCACUACCCGUGUGGCUACUGUGCACUUGAAAUAUGGCUAGGGCAGCUGAGGAAGAUAAUUUCUAAUUUUAUUUUACUUUAAUUGACUAAUGUUUAAGUAUGUGGCUAGUGGCUAACAUAUUGGAAAUCAUAGGUCUAGCUAGAGGGUACUCACUCCUAUGGACAGGAUACUCCUUAGAUAAUGGACAGUGAGGUGGCACUAAGCAAAAUAAAUAAAUAAAAACUUGUGAAUUAACAGCUAUUCGAAGGAAUAAUAGAUGUUUAUGAGUACUUUUAAAAUGGGGCAAAAGCCUGGAGCAUUGUCUAAAUUAAAACUAAUGCCCAUCCAAUGGGAAAAAAGAAAACUUAGGAAACAAACAUUCCACAAUGCUUAGUAAAUUAGGGUAUAGCGACAAAUGAAUUAUACUACCAAUAAAAUAACUUUUUAAAGGUUGUGUGAAACUACAUGGCAGCUCCUCAAAAAACUAAACAUAGAAUUGCCAUAUGAUCUAGCAAUUUCACUUAUGUGUAUAUAGCCAAAAGAACUGAAAGCAGAGACUUGAACGUGCAUGUUCAGAACAGUGUUAUUCACAACAGCGAAAAGGUGGCAGCAACCCAAGUGUUCAUUGAUGCAUGAAUGGAUAAACAAAAUGUGGUACAAUGGAAUAUUCAGCUUUCAAAAUGAAGGAAGUUCAAGGCCCAGCACAGGGGCUCACACCUGUAAUCCCAGCACUUUGGGAGGCCAAGGCAGGUGGAUCACCUGAGGUCAGGAGUUCGAGACCAGCCUGGCCAACAUGGUGAAACCCUGUGUCUACUAAAAAUACAAAUAUUAGCCAGGUGUGGUGGGUGCCCUCCUGUAAUCCCAGCUACUCGGGAAGCUGAGGCAGGAGAAUCACUUGAACCUGGGAGGCGCAGGUCUCAGUGAGUCAAGAUCGUGUGAUGUACUCCAACCUGGGUGACAAGAGCAAAACUUCAUUAAAAAAAAAAAGAAGGAAAUUCUGACACAUGCUACCACAUGGUUCAACAUUGAAGACUUUGUGCUAAGAGAAAAAAAGCCAGUUACAAAAGGAAAAGUACUGUAUGAUUCCAUUUACAUAAGGUACCUAGAAUAGUCAAACUCAUAGAGACAGAAAUUAGAAUGGUAGUUGCCAGAUAGGGAAGUGAGAAACCGGGAAUUUGUAUUAUUAUUAUUUUUGUGACGGAGUUUCGCUCUUGUUACCCAGGCUGGAGUGCAGUGGUGCAAACUCAGCUCACUGCAACCUCUGCCUCCUGGGUUCAAAUGAUUCUCCUGCUGGGACUACAAGUGUCCACUACCAAGCCUGGCUAAUUUUUGUAUUUUUAAUAGAGACAGAGUUUCACUAUAUUGACCAGGGUGGUCUCAAACUCUGACCUUGUGAUCUGCCUGCCUCGGCCUUCCAAAGCGCUGGGAUUACAAGCGUGAGCCACCAUGCCCAGCCAGGAGUUGUUAUUGAGUAGGUACAGAACUUCAGGCUGGGAAAAUAAAAAUUUCUGGAGAUGGAUGGGGGUAAUGGUUUCAUGGCAGUGUGAAUGUACUUAAUGCCAUAGAGCUGUGCACUUAAAAAUAAGUUUUAUAUGUAUUUAAUUACAAUUUUUCAAAUCUAAAGAAAUGGUUAGAAUAGGACUAGAAAUAUAAGGGAAAUAUAUAUAACAGACUAUUAAGUAUAAAAGCAUAGAAAACAAACUAUUAAUGUAUUUUAGCUCUAAAAGUAUAUACGUAAGGCCUGAAAAAUGAUAUGAAAAAUAAAAAAUUGUAUUAGUAUACUGGGAUUAUGAUAUGUUUAAAAAUAUGUUGUCUCUUUCUAUCUAAUAAUUCAGUAAUUUUCUUUUUUGGUUGUGGUUUUUUGUUUUGUUUGAGACAGAGACUCACUCUCUCUCCCUGGCUGGAGUGCAAUGGUGCGAUCUCAGCUCACUGCAACCUCCACCCCCCACCCCUCUGGGUUCAAGCAAUUCUGCCUCCACCUCCUGAGUACCUGGGAUUACAGGUGCCUGCCACCAUGCCAGGCUAAUUUUUGGUUUUGGGUUUUUUGUUUUUUUUUUUGAGACAGUCUUGCUCUGUUGCCAGACUGGAGUGCAGUGGCACAAUCUUGACUCACUGCAACAUCUGCCUCCCAGGUUCAAGCAAUUCUCCUGCCUCAGCCUCCCAAGUAGCUGGGACUAUAGGUGCACACCACCAUGCCCAGCUAAUUUUUGUAUUUUUAGUAGAGAUGGGGUUUCACCAUGUUGAUGAGAAUGGUCUCUAUCCCUUGACCUCAUGAUCUGCCCACCUCAGCCUCCCGAAGUGCUGGAAUUACAGGCAUGAGCCACUGCACCCAGCCGUAUUUUUAGUAGAGACGGGGUUUCACCAUCUUGGCCAGGCUAGUCAUACACUCCUGACCUCAUGAUCCACCUACCUCGGCUUCCCAAAGUGCUGGGAUUACAGGCGAGAGCCACCACGCCUGGCCAUAAUUCAGGAAUUUUCUAUCUCAUUUUUUUUAACGGGCACAAUAUAAUUCACAAAGUCACCAAACUUGAUACCAAAACCAGGCAUCCUGAGAGAAGCAUAAGGUAUUAAAAGUAAACAUUUUACACGGGGCUGGGUGCAGUGGCUUAACACCUAUAAUCCCAGCACUUUGGGAGGCCGAGGCAGGUGGAUCACCUGAGGUUGGAAGUUCAAGACCAGCUCCAUCUCUACUAAAAAUACAAAAUUAGUCAGGCAUGAUGGCACAGGCCUGUAAUCCCAGCUAUUCGGGAGGCUGAGGCAGGAGGACUGGUUAAAUCCAGAAGGUGGAGGGUGCCAUGAGCUGGGAUUGCCCCACUGCACUCCAGCCUGGAUGACAGAGUGAGACUCCAUCUCAAAAAAAAGGUUUGGACCCGAUAAUAGAACUAUUAUUAUCAUGUGAUAAUAGAACUAUUAAGUAUUUAUUUUGGUCUGGAGACUAGCCGUGUAAAAAAAUUGAAAUACUAAGGGCACUGUAACCCAGAGAAUUUGAGAGCCUCUGUGUUAAGAUUUUGCAUUAUUGGAUUUUUUUUUUCUGCUUUUAAUAUGAAGACACUAGAGAGCUACAUAAAGUUUUAAAAGGUAGCUGUUGAAAAGCAUAUACCAGCCUGACGGUGCUCACAGCUGUAGUCCCAGCGCUUGGGGAGGCUGAGGCAAGAGAAUUGCUUGAGUCCUGGAGUUUGAGACCAAGAUGAUGAAACCCCAUCUCUACAAAAAAUGUGAAAAUUAGCCAAGCAUGGUAGCACACACCUGUAGUUCUAGCUACUCAGGAAGCUGAGGCAGGAGGAUCACUUGAGCCCAGGAGUUUGAGGUUGCAGUGAGCCGUGAUCUCUCCACUGCAAUCUAGACAAGCUGACAAGUAAGACACUGUCUUAAAAAAAAAGCACAGAUCUUGCCAUUUUUGUUUUGAUUUAAGAGAUUUGUAGAGAAGAAUGAAUUAGUAAUCACAAAGAAUUAUAAAAGUGAAUUGAGUGUGGACAUUGAAAGAAUUAGUACUUGAAGCACAAAAUGAUGGUGAAAUGGAACCUAAUCUUAUUUGUGGGGUCAGGACAUACUAUAUGGUUUUUAGGAUCUACAAUCAUAGCCCUGUUGACUCCUGGGGACAGUUGACACCUUAAAAUGAUAGAUUUCUGGAAAAAUGGCAGACCAGAGUUCCUAGAUACUUCUGUCAUAUACUAUCAAUACUAAUUAAAAUACUUAAAUUUUCUUCA